GACGAACGCUGGCGGCGUGCUUAACACAUGCAAGUCGAGCGGUAAGGCCCCUUCGGGGGUACACGAGCGGCGAACGGGUGAGUAACACGUGGGUGACCUGCCCUCAGCUCUGGGAUAAGCCUGGGAAACUGGGUCUAAUACCGGAUAUGACUCCAUGACGCAUGUCGUGGGGUGGAAAGCCUUGUGCGGCUGGGGAUGGGGCCCGCGGCCUAUCAGCUUGUUGGUGGGGUGAUGGCCUACCAAGGCGACGACGGGUAGCCGGCCUGAGAGGGCGACCGGCCACACUGGGACUGAGACACGGCCCAGACUCCUACGGGAGGCAGCAGUGGGGAAUCUUGCGCAAUGGGCGAAAGCCUGACGCAGCGACGCCGCGUGAGGGAUGACGGCCU
rnacentral:rRNA from 1 species